AUUGAACGCUGGCGGCAGGCCUAACACAUGCAAGUCGAACGGUAACAGGAAGCAGCUUGCUGCCUUGCUGACGAGUGGCGGACGGGUGAGUAAUGUCUGGGAAACUGCCUGAUGGAGGGGGAUAACUACUGGAAACGGUAGCUAAUACCGCAUAACGUCGCAAGACCAAAGAGGGGGACCUUAGGGCCUCUUGCCAUCGGAUGUGCCCAGAUGGGAUUAGCUAGUAGGUGGGGUAACGGCUCACCUAGGCGACGAUCCCUAGCUGGUCUGAGAGGAUGACCAGCCACACUGGAACUGAGACACGGUCCAGACUCCUACGGGAGGCAGCAGUGGGGAAUAUUGCACAAUGGGCGCAAGCCUGAUGCAGCCAUGCCGCGUGUAUGAAGAAGGCCUUCGGGUUGUAAAGUACUUUCAGCGGGGAGGAAGGGAGUAAAGUUAAUACCUUUGCUCAUUGACGUUACCCGCAGAAGAAGCACCGGCUAACUCCGUG
rnacentral:rRNA from 1 species